UCCUGGCUGAGGUGGCAGGCAUCCUGGAACCUGUAGGCCUGCAGGAGGAGGCAGAACUGCCAGCCAAGAUCCUAGUUGAGUUUGUGGUGGUAUGUACAAGAUGAGAGCGAGCCUUUCAGAAGCCAGGGUCUGGUCCUGGCUCCUCUUACUGAGUUACAGGGCAGCAUUGGCAGAGAGCAGACUUAAGGAAACCUGUAAGGAGGACAGAAGGCAAUUGCAGCUAAGGAACAAUGGAAAGAGCUGAAGGCCACCUACAGGGAGCACGUAGAGGCCAUCAAAAUUGGCCUCACCAAGGCCCUGACUCAGAUGGAGGAAGCCCAGAGGAAACGGACACAACUCCAGGAAGCCUUUGAGCAGCUCCAGGCCAAGAAACAAAUGGCCAUGGAGAAACGCAGAGCAGCCCAGAACCAGUGGCAGCUACAACAGGAGAAGCAUCUGCAGCAUCUGGCGGAGGUUUCUGCAGAGGUGAGGGAGCGUAAGACAGGGACUCAGCAGGAGCUUGAGGGGGUGUUUCAGAAACUUGGAAACCUGAAGCAGCAGGCAGAACAGGAGCGGGACAAGCUGCAGAGGUAAGUUCGGGAGCAUGGGCUGCAGAUUCAGAAUGGUCAGCUGAGAUUCCUUUCCUUCACACUUACCUCCUCUUUGCAGGUAUCAGACCUUCCUCCAGCUUGUGUAUACCCUGCAGGGUAAGCUGUUGUUCCCUGAGGCUGAGGCUGAGGCAGAGAAUCUUCCAGAUGAUAAA
rnacentral:sRNA from 1 species